UGGGGAAUAUUGGACAAUGGACCAAGAGUCUGAUCCAGCAAUUCUGUGUGCACGAUGAAGUUUUUCGGAAUGUAAAGUGCUUUCAGUUGGGAAGAAAGAAAUGACGGUACCAACAGAAGAAGUGACGGCUAAAUACGUGCCAGCAGCCGCGGUAAUACGUAUGUCACGAGCGUUAUCCGGAUUUAUUGGGCGUAAAGCGCGUCUAGGUGGUUAUAUAAGUCUGAUGUGAAAAUGCAGGGCUCAACUCUGUAUUGCGUUGGAAACUGUAUAACUAGAGUACUGGAGAGGUAAGCGGAACUACAAGUGUAGAGGUGAAAUUCGUAGAUAUUUGUAGGAAUGCCGAUGGGGAAGCCAGCUUACUGGACAGAUACUGACGCUGAAGCGCGAAAGCGUGGGUAGCAAACAGG
rnacentral:rRNA from 1 species